rnacentral:rRNA from 1 species
GACGGAGGAUGCAAGUGUUAUCCGGAAUCACUGGGCGUAAAGCGUCUGUAGGUGGUUUAAAAGUCUAUUGUUAAAAUUGAAGCUUAACUUCAAAGAUGCAAUGGAAACUUUUAAACUUGAGUAUGGUAGGGGUAGAGGGAAUUUCCAGUGGAGCGGUGAAAUGCGUAGAUAGUUGGAAAAGACCACCAAUGGCGAAGGCACUCUACCUGGGCCGAAUUGACUG